rnacentral:rRNA from 1 species
GACGAACGCUGGCGGCGUGCCUAAUACAUGCAAGUCGAACGCAGUGGGGCCGGGUGAGUAACCCGUGGGUAACCUCCCAUCAGAGGGGAUAACACUUGGAAACAGGUGCUAAACCGAUACUGAUGGAUGGACCCGCGGUGCAGUAGCUAGUUGGUAAGGUAAAGGCGCACCAAGGCCACGAUUCAGAGCCAACCGGAGAUGGUGAUCGGCCACAAUGGGACUGAGACAAGGCCCAGACUCCUACGGGAGGCAGCAGUAGGGAAUCUUGGGAAAUUGACGAAAGUCUGACCGAGCAACGCCGCGUGAGUGAAGAAGGUUUUCGGAUCGUAAACCUCUGUUGUUAGAGAAGCGGUAUCUAACCAGAAAGCCACGGCUAACUACGUGCCAGCCGCCGCGGUAAUUC